GUGCCAGCAGCCGCGGUAAAACGUAGGAGGCAAGCGUUAUCCGGAUUUACUGGGCGUAAAGCGCGUGCAGGUGGUUCGGUGAGUUGGAUGUGAAAGCUCCUGGCUCAACUGGGAGAGGUCGCUCAAUACUACCGGACUCGAGAGUGGUAGAGGGAGGUGGAAUUCCCGGUGUAGUGGUGAAAUGCGUAGAUAUCGGGAGGAACACCAGUGGCGAAAGCGGCCUCCUGGACCAUUUCUGACACUCAGACGCGAAAGCUAGGGUAGCAAACGGGAUUAGAGACCCCGGUAGUCCUAGCUGUAAACGAUGUGAACUUGGCGUCGGUGGUGUAAAAACCAGCGGUGCCGAAGCUAACGCGAUAAGUUCACCGCCUGGGGACUACGGCCGCAAGGUUAAAACUCAAAGGAAUUGACGGGACCCCGCACAAGCAGCGGAGCGUGUGGUUUAAUUCGAUGUUACACGAAGAACCUUACCCAGGUUUGACAUGUUGGUGGUAGGGAAGCGAAAGCAGACCGACCCGCAAGGGAGCCUUCACAGGUGUUGCAUGGCUGUCGUCAGCUCGUGUCGUGAGAUGUUCGGUUAAGUCCGCUAACGAGCGCAACCCUCGCUGUAUGUUACAAGUGUCAUACGGGACCGCCGGUAUCAAGCCGGAGGAAGGUGGGGAUGACGUCAAGUCAGCAUGGCCUUUAUAUCUGGGGCUACACACACGCUACAAUGGUCGGUACAAUGGGUUGCUAAGCCGCGAGGUAGAGCCAAUCCCCAAAACCGGCCUCAGUUCAGAUCGUAGGCUGCAACUCGCCUGCGUGAAGUCGGAGUUGCUAGUAAACGCGCGUCAGCUAUAGUGCGUUGAAUACGUUCCCGGGGUUUGUACACACCGCCCGUCACGUCAUGGGAGCUGGCAACACCUGAAGCCGGUAGCCUAACCGCAAGGAGGGCGCCGUCGAAGGUGGGGUCGGUGACUGGGACGAAGUCGUAACAAGGUAACC
rnacentral:rRNA from 1 species